CACUGACCUUUCUCUCAAAAUGAUCAGAGAUAGUUCAGAUCUUUGACUCCUGUAGUCCAAUCACAGACCUUGACAUUUAAACCAGGAGCAAAUAUUCGUGUGGCUUUUUAAAAAAAAUCAUGGCUUGUUGAUUAUAAUUAAGUUUCAGUCUUUCCUUCUGGUCGAUCAGAAUUAUCACCUCCCAGGACCUAUGGGAUGGUCACCUCAUGCCUCAGAAUGUUGUGGAGCAGGCGAUCCUGGCGUCUCUGAGUCAAGAGAGCUCGUUCAGUCACCUGCUUUGCGCUCCCCACCUCUGCCACCUCCUUCCCAGUUGGAACGGUCCAGAGGCCCAGAAAGACCGAAUUGUUUUGAAGGCCAGGGCCCUGCUUCCCUAUGCUGCCUCAGAACACUGCUCCCAGCAUCCAGGCUACUCUCACUACAGCCAUGGCUGAAAGGGGCCCAUGUGUGGCUCAGGCUUUCACUUUGGAGAAUGAAGUCAGAUGCCUUGGCAGCUUCCACGUGGUGUAUAAGAAGUUGGUUGGCAGUGUCCAGUAAAGGUCUACUGAGUCCAUAUAUAUCUGUGGGCCUAUUUCUGCUGGUCUCGAACUUCUGGGCUCCAGCCAAUCUCCUGCCUUGGCCUCACAAAGCGCUGGGAUUACAGGCAUGUGCCGCCACACCUGGACUGCACUAUUAUGGAAUUAUACUGAAUGGAUAUAUCACAAGUUAAGUAUUCAUCCCCCU
rnacentral:lncRNA from 13 species